GCCAGCCCGCUCAGAAACUCAAAGGAAUUGACGGGGCCCGCACAAGCGGAGGAGCAUGUGGUUAAUUCGAUGAUACGCGAGGAACUUACCUGGGCUCGAACGUAAGAUGACUGUAGGUGAAAGCUUACAUCUCUUCGGAGCAUUUUACGAGGUGCUGCAUGGUUGUCGUCAGCUCGUGCCGUGAGGUGUCGGGUUAAGUCCCAUAACGAGCGCAACCCCUACCUUUAGUUGCCAUCAGGUCAAGCUGGGGACUCUAAUGAAACUGCCUACGCAAGUAGUGAGGAAGGUGGGGAUGACGUCAAAUCAGCACGGCCCUUACGUCCAGGGCUACACACGUGCUACAAUGGCCGGUACAAAGGGCAGCUACCUGGUGACAGGAUGCUAAUCUCAAAAGCCGGUCUCAGUUCGGAUCGGAGUCUGCAACCCGACUCCGUGAAGCUGGAAUCGCUAGUAAUCGUGGAUCAGCAUGCCACGGUGAAUACGUUCCCGGGCCUU
rnacentral:rRNA from 1 species